UUCCUGGUAGUCCAGUGGCUGGCACUCUGCACUCCCAAUGCAGGGGGCUUGAGUUCAAUCCCUGGUCAGGAAA
rnacentral:tRNA from 1 species